CGUUACACUUGACGAGAGAAUAUCUUUGACCUUUUUAUACAAAUAAGGCCAUAUUUUAGAUUAUGUGAUCUUAAAUAGGUCCAAGUACAAAUUAAUGCUAACACAUAACCUAAAUUAGCAAAAAAUAGUUCUUAGAUAGUGAUAGACUGUCAAAACAUUGACAUGAUUGAUUUUUAACGUCUUCUGAAAGGGACAUUUUUUAGGUCUUUGGUAUGGAAACCAACUUUACGUAUAAGAAUGUAGAAUUUUCCGUAAGAAUUAUCGUCCCCGUAUACUGAAUGAUAGUCUUUGUCCUUAUAAAAGAGGGACGAAAGAUACCAGAGGGACAGUCAAACUCAUAAAUCGAAAAUAAACUGACAACGCCAUUGCUAAAAAUGAAAAAGACAACAGACAAACAAUAGAACACAUGACACAACAUAGAAAACUAAAGAAUAAGCAAAACUAACCCAACCAAAAACUGGGGGUGAUCUCAUGUACACCGGAAGGGUAAGCAGAUUCUACUCCACAUAUGGCACCCGUCGUGUUGCUCAUGUUAAAACAAAUCCGA
rnacentral:lncRNA from 1 species